rnacentral:tRNA from 1 species
GGGGUUGCAGCUCAAUGGUAGAGAGCUUGCCUUGCAAGCAUGAGAUCCUGGGUUCGAUUCCCAGCACCACA